rnacentral:rRNA from 1 species
GGGGAAUAUUGGACAAUGGGCGAAAGCCUGAUCCAGCAAUGCCGCGUGUGUGAAGAAGGCCUUCGGGUUGUAAAGCACUUUAAGCUGGGAAGAAAAAGCUCCGCCUAAUACGUGGAGCCUUGACGGUACCGGCAGAAUAAGCACCGGCUAACUCUGUGCCAGCAGCCGCGGUAAUACAGAGGGUGCGAGCGUUAAUCGGAUUUACUGGGCGUAAAGCGUGCGUAGGCGGUUCGUUAAGUCGGUUGUGAAAGCCCUGGGCUUAACCUGGGAAUUGCAGUCGAUACUGGCGGGCUAGAGAACGGUAGAGGGAGGCGGAACUCCAGGUGUAGCGGUGAAAUGCGUAGAUAUCUGGAAGAACACCGAUGGCGAAGGCAACCUCCUGGGCCUGUUCUGACGCUGAGGCACGAAAGCGUGGGUAGCAAACA